UGGAAGUGCCCACAUCCAUCCCAUAUUGGUGAAGUUCACAUCUCUCUGCUUGAUCAUUCAUUACUUCAGCAGAUAUUAACCAAAUGCUCCGUGGCCUCAACCCUGCAGUGGGUGCUGUGAACAGAGACAAGCAAAUGCACACCUUCAACAAUGCGUUAUUUAAAAACAGUGAAUGGGGCACCUGGGUGGCUAA